rnacentral:rRNA from 1 species
GAUGAACGCUGGCGGCGUGCCUAAUACAUGCAAGUCGAGCGAACAGACGAGGAGCUUGCUCCUCUGACGUUAGCGGCGGACGGGUGAGUAACACGUGGAUAACCUACCUAUAAGACUGGGAUAACUUCGGGAAACCGGAGCUAAUACCGGAUAAUAUAUUGAACCGCAUGGUUCAAUAGUGAAAGACGGUUUUGCUGUCACUUAUAGAUGGAUCCGCGCCGCAUUAGCUAGUUGGUAAGGUAACGGCUUACCAAGGCGACGAUGCGUAGCCGACCUGAGAGGGUGAUUGGCCACACUGGAACUGAGACACGGUCCAGACUCCUACGGGAGGCAGCAGUAGGGAAUCUUCCGCAAUGGGCGAAAGCUUGACGGAGCAACGCCGCGUGAGUGAUGAAGGUCUUCGGAUCGUAAAACUCUGUUAUUAGGGAAGAACAAAUGUGUAAGUAACUAUGCACGUCUUGACGGUACCUAAUCAGAAAGCCACGGCUAACUACGUG